GUGGGGAAUAUUGGGCAAUGGGCGAAAGCCUGACCCAGCAACGCCGCGUGAAGGAAGAAGGUUUUCGGAUCGUAAACUUCUAUCCUUGGUGAAGAUAAUGACGGUAGCCAAGAAGGAAGCCCCGGCUAACUACGUGCCAGCAGCCGCGGUAAUACGUAGGGGGCAAGCGUUGUCCGGAAUGAUUGGGCGUAAAGGGCGCGUAGGCGGCCCGGUAAGUCUGAAGUGAAAGUCCUGCUUUUAAGGUGGGAAUUGCUUUGGAUACUGUCGGGCUUGAGUGCAGGAGAGGUAAGCGGAAUUCCCGGUGUAGCGGUGAAAUGCGUAGAGAUCGGGAGGAACACCAGUGGCGAAGGCGGCUUACUGGACUGUAACUGACGCUGAGGCGCGAAAGUGUGGGGAGCAAACAGGAUUAGAAACCCUGGUAGUCC
rnacentral:rRNA from 1 species